CUGCGAAUAUGCAUUGCUACAUUCCCGUUGCACUUUGCCUGUUCGCUCUUUUGAAUUUGACAAACGGGGUGAACGAAAAGGAGAGGUCAACUUAUUGUGCACCCGGUCGGUGCUGGGAUCAAAGAUAUAAUCAGUGGAACUCGGGAAAAUAAAUGCGGUGAACGCUUGCGAUCAGAAGAUGGUUUUGUCAUUUUUGAAGUUCUUUGGAUCUUAGUACUCUUUUCAAGUUUCUUUUCUGUGUAUUCUGUGCAUUUAAAAUCCGACAUUUUUAAUAGCUAUAUGGUGCGAAAUUGUGGAUUUAACGCUCUGAAGUCUAACGACUUCCUGGCUUAUGGGUAUAUGAUUUGCCUGAUUGCUAUUUUGGACUUGACAAACGGUGUGAAAUUUAAGGAAACCUUCUCUUCUUGCGCACCACCUUUUAAAGGAUGGUGCUGGAGUUACAAUCUGGACGUUUGGAGCUGGGGAAGAUAGAUGCGGAGAAGCAAACAUUGUCUUCAAGCCUCACAAAAAUAGUUAAUGAAUAAAUGAUUAAAAUGUAA